UACGAAGGGGGCUAGCGUUGUUCGGAUUUACUGGGCGUAAAGCGCACGUAGGCGGUUUGUUAAGUCAGGGGUGAAAUCCCGGAGCUCAACUCCGGAACUGCCUUUGAUACUGGCAAGCUAGAGUCCGGAAGAGGUAAGUGGAACUCCGUAGUGUAGAGGUGGAAUUCGUAGAUAUUAGGAAGAACACCAGUGGUGAAGGCGGCUUACUGGUCCGGAACUGACGCUGAGGUGACGAAGCGUGGGGAGCAAACAGG
rnacentral:rRNA from 1 species